ACCUGAAGAUAGGGAGGUGGCAGAGAUCUACAAAGAAAGUGCAAAUAUAAAUUUCUCUAUCAUAUUAGGUUACUUAAUCACUUAAUAAGAUUACAUAAACAAAUUUAAAGUACUUGGUGUAAAUCUGGCAAUUUAUAAAAUGCUGUGAGACUAUGGAAGACUGCUUGCCAAUGGAGGAGGAGGAACGAAUAGGAUGUUAACUGAGACUGCGAAGUUUGAGCUAAAUCUUGAAGGAAGAGAAGGAAUUCACCAGACUUACAGGUAAGAAACAGGAUUCCAGACAAAGAGAAAAGUAUCUGCUAAGGUGUGUAAGAGUGUGUUU
rnacentral:lncRNA from 1 species